rnacentral:sRNA from 2 species
CUGCCGGGAGCGCUGAAUUCUCUUCGAGAGAAGCGGGGGACCCAAAACUUGGGGUGAAUCCCGGCGCUGUGGCUUCUUCCAGGCAAGAGGCGAGGAGCCGAAGGCUCAGCAGGAAGAAGUGCCGCCCAGUGCCGGGUAGGGCUACCUUCCGGCCCGAACCCGUCAGCUAACCCCGUAAGCGUGGGAAGGUGGAGCC